UCCUUAGAGUUGUUUCCUGCAGCUCUCCCUGCCUUGUUCUCUCAGCCCCACUGGGAUUUGACCAGCCUGGGCCCUUCUCAUCCCCACUGCCCCCCAAAGGGAACAAAAGCCUCAGAGGAGGGGCACCACACCCUUCUCCAGUCUACACAGGGCCACUCAAGUGACCAGUUGGUUCUGCUUUCGUGUUAUCUAUACCUUGCAACUAGUUGGGAUAGUUAGCAGAGACAUCGGGCCAGAGGAAGGAGAGGAUGUUUUCCCCAUCUUCUGUAAGCCAUCCAUGAGAAGGGUGCGCUGUGAACUACUGAGCUGCCCCUGAAAUCUGCCUCCCAACCUGCCUCCCUGCCUGGUUCAUUCUGGUAGACAUUAUUGCAGACAAAGGCAGCAUCUUGACAAGAGGUCUGGAGAAAAGAAUGAGAGAAAACGAUGUUCAUGGCCAUUGAUGGAGGCUGCUGGCUCCAUUCCAAAGUGACACCAUCUUCUACAGUCUGCUCCUGAAGAUACUUGAGAGCCCCAUCCUUCCAACUCCUAGCAGAGUGGCACAGGGACAAUUUCACAGCAGGUGGCCAGCAUGGAUCCUCCCAAACAUGCUUAGAAGGACUCAAGGUGUACAUACUGAGAAGCAUCUGCAUGCAUCAACAUCUGCAUUUGUAUAUCCAAGAAGAUAGAAGAGACUAUUUCUGGUCUCUAACCCAUAGAUGGAAAAAUAUUUCCAUAGAUGGAAAGGCUCCAGCCAUCCAACAUCUGGUGACAAAGGCACCUGAAGAAGGGUCUCCAAAGAAGAUCUUAAAAGGCAAUGUAGUUCCCGGAGACAUACUCUAAUGGAGAGGGAGACACUUUUCUGUGGUGUGUGGCAUCAGCAAUGAAGUUUCACUAGAGAAAGUCUGCACAAGAGGACAACUUUGCACAGCUGUGAAGUCAUCUUGCACUGGUGCAUCUUUGCUUGCUGCACAAGCACUUCAUCAGUCUGGAUGAGAACUUAAUGGUUAUAGACCAUUACUAAUAACGCCUAUAACACGUUCCAGUGUAAUGUGGCAGCCUCUGUAAAAAAUGAGAAGGAAAAACCCAGCACUGCUUUUCUAAGAAGACAGACAAUUGGAUGUUGCAUCAGCAUAAGCUAAAAUUAAAGGUGACAAGAGAAUCUCUCCUGUUCACGGGUCAAUGAUGGACAGUGGUGCUCUGUAGACAGUCCAGAAGGCCUUAAUAUUGUUGUCAUGAACAGAUCAGUAUCUGGUAAAGAUUGGGCUGAGCGUGAACCCAAUACACCUCUGCAGGAUUGAGGGACCAGAUGGGUCAGUCAAUUGACAUGGUUGCAUCAAGACGUCCUCUCCUGACCUGCCGUGUCCAAGGGACUCCCUGAUAAACAGGCAUCUCCGCUAUAUGGGUGAUGAUCCACAUAUGCAGCAGAAUGUGAUAUAGAGUGGACUGUACCACUUCAGAUGGCAGAAAUCUGAACUGCAUGGAGCACAGAUCAUGAGGGCAUGUGAUGGCGUGCUGAAGAGGAGAUUGGAGAUCAUCUGGGGGAAGGUUUCCGCACAGACCAAGGAUUUCAGUUUUCUAGAAGAUUCUAUCCCUUUCAUUGCUCUGCUGCACUGACAAGCAGCCAAUCUUUUAUCUGUGGAUGGUCACAUGAUGAGCACAGACACUGUGCUUCGGCCCCUUGUCAUGUGAGAAGUUCCUGGUGAGCAUGACUUAUCACUAACCAACUCAUGGAUCGUAUCAACCACCCUACGAUGCAACAACGAAUCCAGCUACUUAACUGGAAGAACAUUCCCAUUAGGCUUCAUGGAAAAUUUCCACAAGAGUUGCAAGGUUUGGCUUCUAACUAUUACUUGUCAAGUAAAUAGAGGCUCUGUGAUCUCCCUGCCCUCUUUUGAGGAAAAAAUGCAUAUGGAACUUGUUAAUUUACUUGGAAAUGUAUAAGAGUUUAUCUUUUUUGCCUCAGUGUUUGCUCUCCCAAUGUACCAUUGACAUUCAGUAUAAAUAAACAUUAAACAAACGGAAGAAAAUAAAACAAAAUCUUUCCUCAGA